AUUGAACGCUGGCGGCAGGCCUAACACAUGCAAGUCGAACGAGUGGCGGACGGGUGAGUAAUGUGUGGGAAACUGCCUGAUGGAGGGGGAAAAAUACUGGAAACGGUAGCUAAUACCGCAUACCAUCGGAGGUGCCCAGAUGGGAUUGGCUAGUAGGGGGGGUAACGGCUCAACUAGGCGACGAUCCCUAGCUUGUCUGAGAGGAUGACGAGCCACACUGGAACUGAGACACGGUCCAGCCUCCUACGGGAGGCAGCAGUGGGGAAUAUUGCACAAUGGGCGCAAGCCUGAUGCAGCCAUGCCGCGUGUAUGAAGAAGGCCUUCGGGUUGUAAAGUACUUUCAGCGGGGAGGCGUUACCCGCAGAAGAAGCACCGGCUAACUCCGUGCCAGCAGCCGCGGUAAUAC
rnacentral:rRNA from 1 species